rnacentral:rRNA from 1 species
UACGUAGGGGGCAAGCGUUGUCCGGAAUCAUUGGGCGUAAAGAGCGUGUAGGCGGCCCGGUAAGUCCGCUGUGAAAGUCCAGGGCUCAACCCUGGGAUGCCGGUGGAUACUGUCGGGCUCGAGUCCGGAAGAGGAGUGUGGAAUUCCUGGUGUAGCGGUGAAAUGCGCAGAUAUCAGGAGGAACACCGGUGGCGAAAGCGGCUCUCUGGGACGGUACUGACGCUGAGACGCGAAAGCGUGGGGAGCGAACAGG